GACGAACGCUGGCGGCGUGCUUAACACAUGCAAGUCGAACGGAAAGGCCCUGCUUUUGUGGGGUGCUCGAGUGGCGAACGGGUGAGUAACACGUGAGUAACCUGCCCUUGACUUUGGGAUAACUUCAGGAAACUGGGGCUAAUACCGGAUAGGAGCUCCUGCUGCAUGGUGGGGGUUGGAAAGUUUCGGCGGUUGGGGAUGGACUCGCGGCUUAUCAGCUUGUUGGUGGGUAGUGGCUUACCAAGGCUUUGACGGGUAGCCGGCCUGAGGGGGUGACCGGCCACAUUGGGACUGAGAUACGGCCCAGACUCCUACGGGAGGCAGCAGUGGGGAAUAUUGCACAAUGGGCGGAAGCCUGAUGCAGCAACGCCGCGUGCGGGAUGACGGCCUUCGGGUUGUAAACCGCUUUCGCCUGUGACGAAGCGUGAGUGACGGUAAUGGGUAAAGAAGCACCGGCUAACUACGUG
rnacentral:rRNA from 1 species